rnacentral:rRNA from 1 species
GAUGAACGCUAGCGGCAGGCUUAACACAUGCAAGUCGAGGGGUAUUGGUUUUCGGACCAAGAGAUCGGCGCACGGGUGCGUAACGCGUAUGCAAUCUACCUUUUGCAGAGGGAUAGCCCCAGAGAAAUUUGGAUUAAUACCUCAUAGUAUAGUACUUUGGCAUCAAGGAACUAUUAAAGUCACAACGGCAAAGAUGAGCAUGCGUCCCAUUAGCUAGUUGGUAAGGUAACGGCUUACCAAGGCUACGAUGGGUAGGGGUCCUGAGAGGGAGAUCCCCCACACUGGUACUGAGACACGGACCAGACUCCUACGGGAGGCAGCAGUGAGGAAUAUUGGACAAUGGGCGCAAGCCUGAUCCAGCCAUGCCGCGUGCAGGAUGACGGUCCUAUGGAUUGUAAACUGCUUUUAUACAGGAAGAAACACUCCGACGUGUCGGAGCUUGACGGUACUGUAAGAAUAAGGAUCGGCUAACUCCGUGCCAGCAGCCGCGG